UAGUACUGCAAAUGACUGCGGUGAUUGCCACGACUUCCCUCCUCCCCCUCCCCAAAAAAUCAGCGAGGAGCCUGUUUGUCGAGGGGCAGCUGUCGGGUGGAGCAGAGCUGACUCCAUGGAGGGAGCCUGGCUGGUGUGGUUGGAAACAGACGUUUUUGAUCCUCUUAUUUUUCUAUUGUAGUAAAAUGCACAAAAUUGAUACGAUAUAUAAAAUUAUGUUAACUCUUAUUAAGUGUAGGACACACUGUACACGCUCACACUGUCACAUUCUGCACCAUCGUGCUAGGCUCAGGAAGGGUGGGGGAGUGAUGGCAAAGCUGUUUUGACACACAGAGCAGCCCAGGACAGCCUCUCUGGCAGUGAGGGGCAGGAGCUCACUCAUGUUCUCAACCCAGACACCAUCUGCAUCCCUGAUCGCUUAAUACAGAAUUACUUUUGGUCAUUCAUUCAUUCAAAAACAUUUUCUCCAUAUCUUCUCUGGCAUUUAGAUGUUAAUGAGACAAAAGAAAAUAACUUGAUCCCGAUAGUGGCAAAGGGGAAAGACCGGGGCUGGGAGUCAGU
rnacentral:lncRNA from 1 species